rnacentral:rRNA from 1 species
UCCGUAGGGGGGACCUGCGGGGCAAUCGAGUUGAUCGGGCUCGGCCCGAUCCUCCCACCCUUUGUGUACCUACCUCUGUUGCUUUGGCGGGCCGCGGUCCUCCGCGGCCGCCCCCCUCCCCGGGGGGGUGGCCAGCGCCCGCCAGAGGACCAUCAAACUCCAGUCAGUAAACGAUGCAGUCUGAAAAACAUUUAAUAAACUAAAACUUUCAACAACGGAUCUCUUGGUUCUGGCAUCGAUGAAGAACGCAGCGAAAUGCGAUAAGUAAUGUGAAUUGCAGAAUUCAGUGAAUCAUCGAAUCUUUGAACGCACAUUGCGCCCUUUGGUAUUCCGAAGGGCAUGCCUGUUCGAGCGUCAUUACAACCCUCAAGCUCUGCUUGGUAUUGGGCACCGUCCUUUGCGGGCGCGCCUCAAAGACCUCGGCGGUGGCGUCUUGCCUCAAGCGUAGUAGAACAUACAUCUCGCUUCGGAGCGCAGGGCGUCGCCCGCCGGACGAACCUUCUGAACUUUUCUCAAGGUUGACCUCGGAUCAGGUAGGGAUACCCGCUGAACUUAAGCAUAUCAAUAAGUCGGAGGAAUC